GUAAAUGUAUGAUUGUUUUAAAUGUAAAUGUGUGCCUCUUUUCGUAUUGAACGAAAUUGAAUAAAGAGAAAUGUAUUAACGCGUUCUCAUUCAUCAGCUGAAAAACGAAUAUUGAAAACGAACAAUUCAUUCAAAUUGUGCAUACGUUGUCGUUCAUCAGCGGAAAAUCAAGGAUUGGAAACGAGCAAGUAUUGGAAUCUCUUCAAAAAUAUUCACACGCAUACUUGUGUAUAUUAGUCAUCCUUCGCCAUAUACUGCGUGUGUUUGAGAGUGCAAGAAAUGGGCAAGAAGGGGCUAAAAUGAUCAAUAUGAGGUGUAAAAACGGUUAAAAAUUUUUAUAAGAAAUAAGUUGAGCGACUUAGCACUUUUACCGUUGUGAAUAUGUGGCGUUACACUAAGCAAACAUGUCGCCUGUCACGAAACAUAAGCUGUGUAUUGACCUUACUUCGUAUUUAUUAAACAUGUAGUCGACCAAUCGAUAACCUAGUUUCGAUUGAAGAUUCUCCGAUAUCAGGCAGGUAGCAUCUGCGCAGGGCGAAACUCGGGUCACCGACAUGAAAGCGCCGAAGGAUUAAAAUUACCUGCUAUCCAAGUUCGUUUACUUCUCGCUGAGAAGUCACCGCAAAAGCUAUGAAAAAGCUUGCUAAGUUUAUCCCAAAUCGCUCGGGGAUAGACAGAAUAUAAUAAGAAAAGGAUACGUGUACAUAUAGUUCCUACGAGUUACUUAUUUAACAGGUGGAGCUCCGAAUUUAUCGAGUACCCCGAAGAGAAGUAACCUAG